rnacentral:lncRNA from 1 species
GGGGGCUGCGGAGUGCUCCCUCCAAGACCGGUUGCACCCCGCUUUCCUGGCCAGGACUCUGGGCGCAGUUGGAGGCAUCUGUCCACCCAUGUGGUUCCAGACACGUUCAUGUGGCCACCAUGACCCCGUCGGCAUCACAGGAGUAACCAAGAGAGCAGCAAGUUCCUGGGACAGAGGAGACAGAAGGGAAUUUCCAGGUUCUUCAGGACGUUCACAACCACACUGAGAAGCAUCUUUGCAGAUAAGUAUUUAAACUUACCAGCCCAUAGCCUACCAGCCUGCCCUCUUCUGGUCUGUGCAGGAAAGUGUAGUAUCCUAGAAUACCAAAGUGGGAGGGGAAAUGGGUGAUGUAGCUCAUUCUCUUUUCUACCUCUAUGGAAGAAAGAAAGAGCCUGUCCCCAUUUUGUGGGGUCCCAGAAAGGGUGAUUUUCACACUUCACAUUUGGCAUUAGGGCUAGUAUUUUACAAACAUUACCGUCUGGAACUUUUGAAGGCUGAGUUAAAUGACUUCAUCUUGUGUACUUGUAGAACUGCUAUUAGAAGGAGGCUGGGACUCCCUGAUGAUGUGAACCAGCCCUUCUCUUCUCAGUUUCAGCACUUUGUGAUCAUAUUUAUAAACCUUAGACAGGGCUCCUUGGCCUUACAGUUAAGUGAAGAGUUAACACUGUGACUUUAGAUGCAUUUUUCUCAGUGCAAGUGUCUGAGCUCAUCUCCAGUUCUGGACUCGUGCCCCCACUCCCAGGUGCUGACAGCAAGCUCUGAAGAUAUGCUGAGAGAGCUCCCUGACUCUCCUGACUCAGGUCUGCCAGUUGAUGAAGACAGCACAGUUGUUACCAAAAACAAAACCUGGCAGAUGGUCCUAGGUCAGGAUUAGUGGUCAUUCUCUGGUCUUCUCCAGACUGGUGACACAGGGUGGUCUUAAAAGAGUCCUAGUCCAGCCUCUGGCUCCCCGAAUUUCCUCUGGUGCAUGGGGCAUCAGGAAAGGGCAGGGGAGAAGGAGGGGGAGCAGAAAAAUAACUGAGGCUGGGCAGAAGGGUCCCUUCCAUUUCCCAUCCAUUGCUUCAAACAAUGGGUGAUUACCGUGCACCUUGAGUGAAUGUCCAGGCAGGAAGGGUUCCAGGGCCACCCAGUGUGGCAGGAGCAGAGCUGGGAUCAGAAUUCUGGAUUCCUGACUCUCCGUUCAGCUGCUAUUCAGCUAUCACCAAGCUGCUGAGUUUGUCCUACUUUCUCCUGGGUCACAUUCUGCUGUUGUUGGGAAACAGGGAGUGAGUGAAGGGAACCUGGGAACCCUUCUCCCCUCACCUUUUAAGGAUGUUCUGGGGUGGAAUAAAGAGAGGUGGAGGGUGGGGUGCCUGGGCCCAGCCUCCCUGGCUCCUGGUCCUUCUUUCUUCAGCAGGGAGUUCUGGCAAGGCCUGGGCCUGGGGAGGGGGCCUGGGUGCAGUUUUCUCCUGCGGUGUGGUUGGCUCUUUUGUCUUCCAGGAUGGGCCUGUGGGGUCUGUGUGGGGAAGGAAGGAGCUGGGAGCCUGGGCUGCCUGUGUGUCGGCUGGAUGCUGCCAGGUGGCUCCAUCUGGGCCGCAUCUCCAGGACUCCUGGCCUGGACUUCUCUUUGGACCUCGGGUGACCUUGGAUUCUGGCCACAGUGACUUAACGGUCAGACUCCGGUGGUUUUCUAGCCCGCUGGGUGACUCCCUGAAGAUCUCAUCCUCUUCACACCUGUUGGGAUGGAGCCUCCCAUGGAUAGGAACUCUUCCUGGUUGAUGCUCAGCAGAUGACUGAUCUGGCUCUGGAGGACAGCUGCAGGGGUAUGAGGGAGGCCUGGCAGCCCACUACUCCCUCCUCACCUGCUCGGGCCCUGCCUGCUGGGCCCUAUUGUCUGGGUCUGAGGGCCCUUUCCUGCCCCAUGUGAACUUGAUUCCUCCUCGCGUUUCUGCCGGUGACCAGACAGAGCCUGGCCUGGGCCAAGUCCCCACUGACCACACUUUCCCCAAGGCUGGGUCUCAAAGGACCCUACAGGAUGGGGACAGGAACAAGGAUGGGAGUCGGGGAGGGGCUGUCAGGCAGAGGGCAGAUGCAGCUCCUCGGGUGCCGCUGGCUGGAGUCCUUUGUCUCCAUUUGCUCAGUGCGUAAUUGUCAUUUUGUGGGGGACUUCCUUGGUGGGGCUUUUCCAUGCUUUUCCUCUCCCUGAUGGUUACAAAGAGGAGACAGUCAGGAUCUGGGAGGAGCUGGAGCCUUCCCCCUGUGCUGUUGAACUCUGGGAGGGGCAGCCAGAGGGGCUGAGAGUGCACCAUCCUGAAAAGAGAGGGUCUUUAAGAGAUAAGAUUUAGGCUAGGGAAAUUCACUAGAAAGAGACAGGUGGCCCUGGGUUUUUUUUCCUGCCAUCCAAAGGGAACCAGUCUUACCCAAAGGCUUGAGGGGUCACCUUAGCCCAGUCUCAGGACACUCUUCUUCAAUCAGAUCGCUGCUUCUAGUUGCACUGCUCCUGGAUUCUGUUCUUGGGGAACAGAAGGUGGCAGGACAGGCCCCACAAUCUGCAAUUCCAGCUCCCUCCAGAGGAGACAGUCCCAGCAUUUGCAAGAGAGCAGCUUGUGGCCUCCCUUAGGCAAGUUUAAAAGCCAGAUGUCCUUUUUCCCAGAAUGGGGAGUGGUGUGUACUAUUCAUCAGCUUGGGCUGCCACAGCACCAUGCCACAGACUGGAUGGCUUAAACAUCAGGAAUUUAUUUUCUGCCAGUUCUGGAGGCUGGAAAGUCCAGAUCAAGGUGUUAGACUUGGUUUCUGGUGAGGCCUCUCUCCUUGGCUUGCAGGUGGCACCUUCUCACUAUGUCCUCACAUGGUCUUUUCUCUGUGGAGAGGGACAGAGAGCAUGAGCAGGCUCUGGUGUCUCCUCCUCUUCUUAUAAAGACACUAAUAUCACCAUAUUAGGGCUUAAACCUAUGACCUCAUUUAACCUUAACCCCUUAAAGGUCCCAUCUCCAAAAACAGUCACAUAGCAGGCUACUGCUUCAACAUAUGCAUUUGGGGGAGGGGACACCAUUCAGUCCUUAACAGGGUGGUCACCGCAAACAUGGAAAGUCAGAGCCUUCUCCCCUUCAGAAUUCCCCGCCCCCACCCAGGGAUGGGGAAGAGGAGCAGAGGUAUGGGAAGCAGACACGGAGAGGGGCAGGUACCAUGCUGGGGUGGCUCAGGAGUGCUUCAGAGGACAUAUGGAACUGGCAGGGCUCAGUGCAGGGAGGCGGAGGCCCUGGGAGAGCCGUGUCCUGAGAAGGGCCUGGGCUACAAUCCUGGGCAAGUUACUUCACCUCUGAGCCUCCGAUGCUCUGUGAAAUGGAAGGAAUGUGCUUGCCUGUCAGGUGCAGGGAGAAUUCAGUGAGAUUGUGUGCCUAGCACAGUGCCUGACUCCCAGUAGGUGCUCAGCAAAUGCUCCCAUCCAUCUGGGAGUAUAGACUUAGGGUUUAUCUAUUUUUUUUUUUUUUUUUGGCUCUCUGGACUUUAAAACUCAGCAUCUUCUGAACCAGAGGCAUUUCUGAUUAGCCCUUCCCUACCUAUUUUCCUAGUAUCACUCUUUAAUCAGCUUGGGGAGGUGGCAGCAUUUCAUGGCCUCCGUAGUAACUCACAAUGCUUCCUGGGGUAUUUAAAUUCCACUGUCUCAUCAGCACUGAGCACCUACUUUGGGCCCUUUCCCGUGCUAGCCAUUUGGGGGAAAUAUAGGUGAAGAGUGGCUGGGGUUUGAACCUUUAGGAUUUCACAGCCAUGCUGGAUGGGAUAAAACCAGCUCACAUGGAGAAUCAGAGAAUGGGACAGUGCCACAAAACAGUCUACUGAGGCACAAGUUCUGAGUGCCUGGGAAGUGGUAGAGAGACCCCAGAGAGGGCUGCUGCAGUCUGGAACAGCUUCCUAGCAAGCUGUACCAAACAGGGCCUUGAAGGAUGAGAAAGAUCUGGCUGAGAUGAUACCCGACCCUCUAGGGAAAUUCUUAAAGUAACUUCUAGGAAAUAUCAUUGCUCCUUAAAAAAAAAAAAAAAAAAAAAAAGCAGGUUCUAAUUCAAAUUCCGCUGCACUACUGAAGUAGUGCAGGACUUAUCAGAACCUUUAAAAUGCUAAUGGCAAUUUCAAAUACUCAGGGACAGGGCAUAGGAUGAAGUGUUCCUUGACUUUUAUGGCCAUAGAAUCUUUUUCUCAUGGAACAUCGUUUAGAACUGUGGGAGAUGCUAGGCUGGGAUUUCUAUGGGAAAAGUACAGCAGUGAUAGAAGAUGGCAUAAUUAGGGUACACUUAGGUGCUUUGUAGCAUUGGCUGAAAAGGAAGCAGACCGGGUGGGCGUGGGGGAGUCUCAACUUGGUUCCAGGAGCCAGGCCAGCUUGAUGCAAGUUUUUUUUUUUUCUAAUGGUGGGAGGGCAGGCCAAUAGUUGGAGAAACUAGAGGCCUGACAGUCGGUGAUGGAAGAGAUGUCUACUAAGCACGGUUGUCAGAUCUUUGCGGAGAGAUGCUGGUGUGCGUGUGUCUGUCAGAGUGUAACAGGAUCCAGCCCUCUGGGAAGGGGCUGACCAGAACCAGGCAGGGGGUUUCUGUCUAGGAUAAGUAGGGUCCAUUUUCAGGGGAGCUGAAAUAUUUGCAGGGGGUGCUCUGAGACCCACAGCCAAUAAAUAGGGAAGCAACAUGCUUCUGGGCAGGGUCCAUGUGGUUAGGGUUGAUUUUGAUGGUGCUGGGGGGCUUAGAGUUAGACCCCCUGCCCUGGUCAGGCCCCACUCCCUGGCUGGUGGGGGCGGGAGGCCUCUGAAGCUGCAGCUGGAGGGGCCGGGGCAGUGUUGCAUGGUGUGAUUAACCUACUAACCCAGGGCUCAGCCGGGACGCUGUGGCGUGUGACGAGGUGCCUGGCCUUCUGCCAACCAACUAACCCACUAACCAGGCCCGAGCAUGCCCUACUAACCACCCCCCCCGCAGCCAGAUCCUACUAACCGUGCAGCUCAUGGGCCUUUCAAGGGGCUGGGAUAUGGGGGCAGCCAAGGCUCCAGAAGGCUCUGCCUAUGGGCUGGGAUCUUUGUGCAGACCCACGUUCCAGGACAGAGAAUGCAAAUAAGACUCACCAACUCUGCCACUUCCUGUUGAGUGAGUUUGAGUAAGUCACCUCACUUCUCUCAACCUCAGUCUCCUCAGUGGUAGAAUGCGAGUUCUGAUACCUUACAGGUUGCAGUGAGGAUUCCCGUCAAUAUAAGGGUCUCAGCACAUGGCAGACACUUAAAAAAAAAAAGUAUGAGGAUGGAGGAAGGCCCCUCAAACCUGGUUGAACACGUCUGCUGCCUAGGUCCUGGCCUCUUUGGGU